AAUUGACGUUUCAUACUAGGGCGAGGGGUGUUGAAACGCAUGGAAGAGCAGGAAGAAACACGGACGAGCGGUGAUGAACUGCAACUGUGUGCGUGCAACAGCACCAAACGGCAUGUGACGACGUACAGUGUGUGGAUGUGUGUGUGAAAUUUUAGGCAGCGAAGAUGGAUCGAGGUUAUGUUUACAAAGUGAAAGAGAUUGAUGCAGAAGCGUCUUUGUGAUAAAAUAUAUUUUAGUUUCAUAUUUUCAGUGUUAAAGUUUGUAAUGUGAACUUAAAAGUAAUGAACAAUGGUGCUAUUCUCUUGUGUGCUGUUGGCGAAUAUUGAAGCGUUGAAAUAUUGAAGCUUCAUAUGUUAGUUUGUUGUGCUUAAUGUGAAGCAAAAAUAUGUGCUUAAGUGUUAUAAAUUAGAAAUAUUUAAACGUAUCCGUCUAAUGUUCAGUUGUACCCAUCUAAUUUUCAAUAUUUUUGGGUGUCCUUAUCGUUUACCAGGAGAAACAGAUUGGAGGUUAGAUACGUGCAGCUAUUUCGCCUCCACAGUGUUCUUCAGUUGUGUUUCAAGCUGUCCGAAGGCACACAAAUCCGAUUCACCUCGUAUGCACCCAGCGGAUUUCAUGCGAAGGAUAUUGGAAAGCCAUCAAAGAAGUGGGCAUGAUGGUAAGGAAACUUUGAUUCUUUUUACUUUUAGAUUUCUUAUCCUUAUUUUUGUUUACAACAACCUUGGAUCGUCGGCGCCGGCCUUAUGGAAACUGCGCGGUCAGAGCAACAACCGGAAGCAUUUCGUUCCAGGUGGAAAUUAUCUCAAGUUUGGGAAUUGAAGAGAGUUACGGCACACUGUGAACAUCGUUGUAAACAAUUGAUGCUUGUUUUAACAUUUCCCUGCAUGUUUACUCUUGCCGGUGCAUGCGUCAGUUUUCUUUUUAAAUAUUCUUUAACAUAUUCUAUAUCUACUUCUAUUCCUACGUGGUUUGUGGCGAUAGACUUAAAUAAGCGCACUGUAUUUCGGUAUUUACUAAAAGCUAUUU